CCUGGCGGCGAGUGGCGAACGGGUGAGUAAUAUAUCGGAACGUGCCCAGUAGUGGGGGAUAGCCCGGCGAAAGCCGGAUUAAUACCGCAUACGACCUGAGGGUGAAAGCGGGGGAUCGCAAGACCUCGCGCUACUGGAGCGGCCGAUAUCAGAUUAGCUAGUUGGUGGGGUAAAGGCCUACCAAGGCAACGAUCUGUAGUUGGUCUGAGAGGACGACCAGCCACACUGGGACUGAGACACGG
rnacentral:rRNA from 1 species